rnacentral:lncRNA from 1 species
CAAAGUGCUGGGAUUACAGGCGUGAGCCAUUGCGCCUGGCCUCUCUGUCUUCUUAUACACAUACUUGGGACAAAAACUGUGUCUUAAUCUCUGAUGCUCAGCCCAAUAACUGAUUCAUAGAAGGUAUUUAAUAAAGUAUAACUACAUAAAUGCAUAAUUAAUUACUCAGGCUUUCCUCAUUUUGCAGAAGACUUUAUUUUAAAUACUGAGCUCUCCUAAGACCUUUCUUUGAGUUUCAUGUUAUGAUGUACCAGUCACCCCAGUCUGCUAUUGUUUUAGCAUUAAAAGUCUUGCCUCUCGGGUACAGUGGCUCAUGCCUGUAAUCCCAGACUUUGGGAGGCUGACGAGGGUGGAUCACUUGAGGCCAGGAGUUUGAGACCAGCCUGGCCAAUUCUGUCUCUAUUAAAAAUACAAAAAUUAGUCAGGCGUUGUGGCGGGCACCUGUAGUCCCAGCUACUUAGGAGGCUGAAGCAUGAGAAUCGCUUGAACCCAGGAGGCAGAGGUUGCAGUGAGCUGAGUUGUGCCACUGCACUCCAGCCUGGGUGAUAGAGUGAGACACACUGUCUCAAAAGAAAAAAUUCUUGCCUCUCCGGAAUGUAGCCCCUCAGUCCUGGGAAAACUGGGAUGGUUAGUCACCUUAUAGCUUCUCAAAGUGAAUCUGAAUGCUUAAAAUGAGAACAAAAUAUUGUGACUUGAAAUUAUACUUUUAAAGUUGUAAGGCUGAUGUCAGUUGGAAUUAGUCAAAUGAGUAUAAUUAAAUCACGAAGUUCAUUAACAUGUUUUUUAAGCUGGGCACAGAGGUAUUUUAUAAUGAUUAUACAUUUCAUUUUAUUUUCCUGUGGAAAUGUGUCCUUGCUUUGUAAAAAAUAGCUUUUCAAGACUUGUUUUGGUUGACUCUUGAUUCACAGGAGGUCGAGAAGGCAAAAUUGAAUUUUAAAAUGCUGUUUCUCCUUGGCAUUACACCCAACCAGAUAAAAAGUAGAACACUGACUUAAGAAGCCAGCUGGGUGUCUGAAUAAUGCCACACAGCACAUACUUGACAGAGUUACCUCCAUUUUGUGUUAAUCAUUUCUAAGGAAAAAAAAAAUAGGCUUAAUUUCAUUGGAGCAAACUGAUAGAAUAAAGUAACAGGUUUUUUUUUUUUUUUGACAGUGGUUAUUCAUAACCUCACUUUCCCUUCUAUAAACCCCAAUUUCAAUACCUUCCUCUGUUUGUCAGCAAAGUGUUUUUCAAUAUUGCAACAGGAUAUUAUGCAAAUAUAAAUCACACUGGAUUGGACUAUUUCCUUAGCAGCAAAAGCAAUGUUCUUGCUGGGAUGAUAAGUGUAAAUGUCUCUAAUUAUCCUUUACUACACAGCAGUCUGAGGAAAAAAUCAGGCUACAAAUAGAAAAAUGAGCUAGACUGUAUAUGUUGAAAAAUAGAUUGUUAAUUUAAUUCAUAAAGAACAAAACAGUUAAUUACUUUAUAGGACAAACUUUCUUGGUCUUUUCUGAUUUCAGAUGUAUAUGUAUGUGAUAUAAUUAUCUGUAUCUUUCACAUAGCUUACAGAUUCCAACAAAAUCAUGAUUCUUGCAUAAUUAAGAAACAAUGCUGAGAUAGAAAAGUCAGCCAGACACGGUGGCUCAUGCCUAUAAUCCCAGUACUUUGGGAGGCCAUGGCGGGUGGAUCACCUGAAAGACUAGCCUGGCCAACAUGGCGAAACCCUUUCUCUACUAAAAAUACAAAAAAUCAGCUGGGCGUGGUGGUGCAUGCCUGUAGUCCCAGCUACUCAGGAGGCUGAGGCAGAAAAAUUGCUUGAACCCGGGAAGCAGAGGUUGCAGUGAACCAAGAUCAUGCCACUGCACUCCAGCCUUGGAGACAAAGUGAGACUCAGUCUCAAAAAAAAAAAAAAUAAUAAAUAAAUAAAAAAUAAGAAAAAGUCGUAAGUCAAUACCAUAGAUGAGGCGCUGAGAUGAACACCAAUGCAGAAUGACUGUAAAUGUCAUCUGUUUAUUCUGCUUCUUUCUAUUUUUAAAUAAAAAGAUGGAAGGUAAGAUGUAAUGCUUAGUUUCAAAAUUUUAAAGAGAUAAUUGAAAUGUACCUAUUAGGUCCUUAUAUCUUCAUGGAUCUGUCAGUUUAAGGAAAUGUUUUGGCAGUCAAGGCAAAAUAAGGGAUGCAGAAAACUAUAUGAUGUGCUCAUGUGUAUUGUCCACUUCCACUGCAGUACGUAUUUUGUUCUUUUUUCUAAGUACGAAUAAGGAGAUUUUGCUGACUUUUCAGAAGUAGCCAAAAACGUUUCCUUGUUCCUAAAAUCAUUAACAACAAUAGCUAACAUAGAUCAAGUGCUUACUAUAUGCCAAGCUAACCAUGUGUAGGAGGGACUUACUAUUAUUAUACCAAUUUUAGAAAUUUAAACAACAAACAAAGAAACCCUCAGACUUCACUUAACUUGAUUGUUCAGGGAUUCACAGCUGGUAAAUGGAAAAACCAGCUUUGAAGCUCCUGGUGCCUGAACAAAGCCCAUGUGCUCUACCAAGUCCUCUCUACUAGGAAGGACUUCAUAUGCAUCUAUAGGAAGCUCUGUGUCCACAUUUUAUGCUGACACAGAUCCUGAGACUGGUAUAAGAUUGGGAUAUUCUUUUCGUUUGUGAGCAGAUUUAUAAUGUGUGUAUUUUUCAAAAAAAGUCUUAACAUUAUCCCCAACUAUCUCAUAUUAAAUUAUGGUGUCUCACACAUGAGAUAAAUUUGUAACAGAUUUCUCACUUAUGCAUAAUUAACCAGCCUUUCACAAAAUAUUUAUAGGUAGUUUAGUAUAGAAAGAAAGACUUUAGGAUCAUUACCAUCAGUAACUUAGAUGGCUGUAGACAACCAUUUGUCAUUGACACCUAAUACAUCCUAUCCUAUAGAUCAUGAAAUGUCCUACUUAUUUUCUAUCUAAUCUCACUUGGUAACUGCACUGGUUCUUCCCACAACUUACUCUCUUACAUGCACUGUUGCUUCUUAUAGAUUUAUUUAUAGGCACAUAACAUCCUUUCAGUCAUUUCAGUUAAGUAGUCUCUAUAAAAAAUAAGUUGUGCUGAAUUGCUUCAAUAAACCUUAGCUACCUUGUGGUAGAGAGACCUUUUGGCUUCAUAAGUUGGUCAAAUUAAUGACUUUAAAAAAUCAUAUGAGUAUGUGCUACAUUCUAAGAUUCUCUAUAGUCUAAAUUCUUUCUAGGAUGAUCGGAAGAAAUCCAAGGUAGAAUUGUACAUCUGCAGGUAAGAUUUGAGGUUUAGUCUGUAAAUUAUUUAAUUUGUACCUCAGUGUUUUUGUUUUUUAACUCUUACUCUAAACAGUGUCUGUUUAUUUGUUUUGGUUUUUUUCCCUUUUUAAAAAAAUUUCUGGUUAAACCUGGAGUAAAAUAAACAUCCAAACAAACAUCAGAGGUAGUGUGGGAGAGAAAAAAGUAUAAUAAAUGCAUUUAGUCUAAUAGAAAGAAGAAAGUCAGACACAAAAUAAGAAACGACUGAGCAAGGUUACAUUGUAUAGUUCCCUUUCUCCAAUAUGUAGCCACUAGCCAGAUGUGGCUACUGAGCAUUUGAAUUAUGGGUAAUUUAUUUAUUUAUUUUUAAAUUUUAUUUUUUGAGUUGAAGUCUUUCUCUGUCGCCCAUGCUGGAGUGCAGUGGUGUGAACUUACUUCACUGAAACACCUGCCUCCCGGGUUCAAGUGAUUCUCCUGCCUCAGCCUCCUGAGUAGCUGGGACUACAGGCGUGCGCCACUUUGCCUGGCUUAUUUUUUGUAUGUUUAGUAGAGACUGGGUUUCACCAUGUUGGCCAGGCUGGUCUUGAACUCCCAACCUCAGGUGAUCUGCCUGCCUCGACCUCCCAAAAAGCUCGGAUUACUGGUGUGAGCCACCACGCCUGGCCGAAUUAUGGGUAAUUUAAAUUACUAUGACAUUGGGUUUUGAAGAUUUAUUAUAGAAGAAAAAAUGUUAAUUAUCUCAUUAACAAAUAACAGUAAUUAUUUACAUUGAUUUCACAUCGAAAAUAUUUUGGAUAAUUUUGUUGAACAUUUUUGAAGACUUCUUAAAUAUAAAACAUUAUAGCACAUAGAUGGCCAACAUAAUAUUUCUGUUGAAUGAUGCUGAUGUAAAGCAAGAGAAAAGAGAUUUUUCAACCUUCAUGAUCAAAGAAAGCUUAACAGAGGAAAUGCUGGAGAAGGACACUGUAUAAGAUGCCUGUGAUACAGGAAGGAAAACCUCACUUCCGAGGACCCUUCACCGAAUUGGAAAAACAUACCCAAUCCUGUCAUCCUGAGAUGAACAGUUUCAUCCUGCUCAUCCUUAGAUGAACAGAUUCCAGAUAAUUGCGCUACUUCAGCUUAAAUCUGGAAUAAUUGGAUUCUGAAUUGGAUUGGACACAUGGAACAGAUAUGAACCAAAGCCAACCCAGCCUCGUUGAGCCAGAGCCCACCUGCAGAAUGUGAGCAGAAGAGAAAUGUUUGAGAGAUGCUCAUUAUGCAGCAUUAUUUCAACAAAACCUGACUAAUACACAUACACAAUAUGAUUUAUCUUCACAACAAGUUGAUGAAGAAGGUACUGCUAGCCUCAUUUCAAACAAGGAAAAUGAGGCCCUGAAAGCUGAAGCUAGAUGACGAUAUAAACUUCGGAGAGAUCACCACAACAGCUUUUGACAACCUUUGUGACAUUUAAACUGGAAACCAGGAAAAUCUGUCAUUUGCCACUGUCUGUUCUCACUCCAGCUGAAGACGCUUCAAGCCCAGCAUCUAGAAAUCUUCUUGACUGGCUACCCUCAGGACUCAGAAACUGAAUUUAUAGUUUUUUUCAACUAUUAGUCUUCAUUUUUAUUUUAUUUUCAUAGAAAUUAAUCCCUCUUUGUUAAAUCCUGUUGGCUGACACUAUCCAGUAGACAUUCUCUAAUACCAAAUCCCAACAGAUGAGUCAGCUGCUCCUACAUGAACCAAAGGUGACCAAGUGAGAAAAUCUGCUUAUGUUGAACAAGAAAGAGGACUAAUGAAGAUUAUUUCCUGGCUAAACUUUAAUCAGGUUUCUGAAUCUCUUCCUAGGCCCAUCUGUGCACUUUCUUGUAAAAUCCAGUUUUAUCGAAAUGGCCCUGCUAAGUCAGUUUAGCCAGAACACCCAUCUUUGAUAUCAGAUAAUCCUCAAUAUCUGAUCUGGUUCCUCAUUCUUACCACCCGCUAGGUGAUGCCUGAUCACUCUGGCCUGUCUUUAGUAGGAAUUCAUUAGGUCCAUUUAGUCAGAACCCCCCAUCAUUGAUGUUUCCACUUAGUAAUUUUCCAUCCAUUGACCCCCACACUGCUUUUUGAAUACAAAUUCCCACUUGCCCAUGUGUUACUGGGAGUGGAUCCCAAUCUGUCUCCCCAGCUGCAAGACCAUGUUGCAGUGGUCCCUAUACCUAUCACGAUAGUCCUGAAUAAACCAUUUUUAUUGUGCUUUAACAAGUAUUAUUAAAUAAUUUAUUCUUAACACUCAGGAAACUCAGGAUAUUUGGGUGAUUUUAAAAAGAGAAUAAUUUACCCAAAUCGAUAGGUGUUGCAGACACAGGCUCAUGACGAGUCCUUGGUUUGAUCUUCUAGCUUCAAGAGGCUUUUCUAAGUCCAAUCUGGAUUCAUUAUCAAAAAUCCCAGCAAAACAAACUUAAAAAGAGCUAAUAUGGCUAAUCAUUAUUCUUGUCUCGCCUGUGUAAAUGAGGAGUAAUUCAAUUCAGUGUAAUGGAUAUAAAAAAGGCUGAGGCAAUCACCAACUGGAUUUCUGUACCGGAGUGAGAGUCUAUUGUUUCCAGGGUUCAGAGAGUUUCUUCACACCUUUUUAAUAUUUUCUCUUUUCUCAUCAACAGCUUCAGAGAUGAGAAAUCACUUUAGCACUUUCUGUCCAAUUUUCCUUUUAGUACCAUUCGUAGCUUCUGGGCAUCCAUCCUAGGAAACCAAAGUGCCCUAAUGAGCUUCCUUAACUGCCUUAGAGUCCCACAAUGUGUCCUCACCAUCGUCCACCUCCUCAUCAAAUAUGAUAUUUUUUCAACUAGCGAUUGAGCAGAGUAAGACUGAGAUAAAUGUAUCAAUACUAAGGUGUUAAUUUUUUUUUUGGUUUUUGUUUUGUUUUGUUUUUUUAGAGGCAGAGUCUCCUUCUACCACCCAGGCUAAAGUGUAGGGGUGCAAUCU